rnacentral:rRNA from 1 species
GUGGGGAAUAUUGGACAAUGGGCGCAAGCCUGAUCCAGCCAUGCCGCGUGAGUGAUGAAGGCCUUAGGGUUGUAAAGCUCUUUUGUCCGGGACGAUAAUGACGGUACCGGAAGAAUAAGCCCCGGCUAACUUCGUGCCAGCAGCCGCGGUAAUACGAAGGGGGCUAGCGUUGCUCGGAAUCACUGGGCGUAAAGGGCGCGUAGGCGGCCGAUUAAGUCGGGGGUGAAAGCCUGUGGCUCAACCACAGAAUUGCCUUCGAUACUGGUUGGCUUGAGACCGGAAGAGGACAGCGGAACUGCGAGUGUAGAGGUGAAAUUCGUAGAUAUUCGCAAGAACACCAGUGGCGAAGGCGGCUGUCUGGUCCGGUUCUGACGCUGAGGCGCGAAAGCGUGGGGAGCAA